UAAAAAGCAGGUCAUUCUGCACGCCGGACGGCCACCUGACAGCCAAGUCUACAUUCAUGAGCACGCCAACAGAUUUAAAAAAAAAAGGGCAGUGGCACAAAAUCUUGACAUUUUUGCCGAUGCCUCCCCAUCCCGCGAUGAUGUCAGAUGGAGACACGAUCAUGUGAUGCUGGCAGGAGUUCCAGAGCGUUUCAGUCUCAUGACGCUGGUGAUGAACAGAUGAACGGAUGCUGAAUGUCAGCAGAGCAGCUAGUAGAAACCCAACUCCUGGGGUUUUUGACCAGCAUGCAGUUGGGACCAUCACCAUCCUCAGAGUGAGCCCCCGUCAGCCUGAAGGAGGGGUGACUGUCAGCCUGGUUCCAUUGGGCCAGACCUUCAUGUAAACCUGAGGAGCACAAAGCAAUGAGAAGACUUUUCUGUGAACUCUGAAGCGGCCCCCCGAGCUGGAGAGGAGUCAGACUCUGGAUCUGACAAAGAGGAGACGCAGAUUCCGCUUGAGAACAGCUAACGAGAGCGAUGGGGUGCUCUGUAGGAACCUUUAUGAAGGCAGUCUGAUCGGUGUCACCUCGUCUGGGGUCGAUGAUCUCCACAGUGGCAGAUGUUGUCUGUCCUAGAACAGCGUUUUGAGGAUUCUUCAGGAAGACGGUGAAGGUCUCGUGGUUCUCUUCCAGACCGUCGUUG